rnacentral:rRNA from 1 species
UGGGGAAUAUUGCACAAUGGGCGCAAGCCUGAUGCAGCCAUGCCGCGUGUAUGAAGAAGGCCUUCGGGUUGUAAAGUACUUUCAGUCGGGAGGAAGGUGUCAAGGUUAAUAACCUUGGCAAUUGACGUUACCGACAGAAGAAGCACCGGCUAACUCCGUGCCAGCAGCCGCGGUAAUACGGAGGGUGCAAGCGUUAAUCGGAAUUACUGGGCGUAAAGCGCACGCAGGCGGUUGAUUGAGUCAGAUGUGAAAUCCCCGGGCUCAACCUGGGAACUGCAUCUGAUACUGGCAAGCUUGAGUCUCGUAGAGCGGGGUAGAAUUCCAGGUGUAGCGGUGAAAUGCGUAGAGAUCUGGAGGAAUACCGGUGGCGAAGGCGGCCCCCUGGACGAAGACUGACGCUCAGGUGCGAAAGCGUGGGGAGCAAACAGG